GCUGAGGUCUAUCCCGACAGACCUUUCUCUGUAGGGCCGUGUUGUUGGAAAUGCCUCACAAAGUAAAUCUGUUUCGCUUUACCCACAUGUUCACUGCCAUGAACGUUGUGAGAUACUGAUGCAGAACAAGU
ensembl:snoRNA small nucleolar RNA SNORA18